CUGCGGUGAUGACUUACUUAGGACACCUUUGGAUUUACCGUGAAAAUAAACACGUUCUGAGCAGC
rnacentral:snoRNA from 1 species